GACGAACGCUGGCGGCGUGCCUAAUACAUGCAAGUAGAACGCUGAAGAGAGGAGCUUGCUCUUCUUGGAUGAGUUGCGAACGGGUGAGUAACGCGUAGGUAACCUGCCUUGUAGCGGGGGAUAACUAUUGGAAACGAUAGCUAAUACCGCAUAACAAUGGAUGACACAUGUCAUUUAUUUGAAAGGGGCAAUUGUUCCACUACAAGAUGGACCUGCGUUGUAUUAGCUAGUAGGUGAGGUAAUGGCUCACCUAGGCGACGAUACAUAGCCGACCUGAGAGGGUGAUCGGCCACACUGGGACGGAGACACGACCCAGACUCCUACGGGAGGCAGCCGUAGGGAAUCUUCGGCAAUGGGGGCAACCCUGACCGAGCAACGCCGCGUGAGUGAAGAAGGUUUUCGGAUCGUAAAGCUCUGUUGUAAGUCAAGAACGGGUGUGAGAGUGGAAAGUUCACACUGUGACGGUAGCUUACCAGAAAGGGACGGCUAACUACGUG
rnacentral:rRNA from 1 species